UUGAYAGUGCACUACACACACUAUCCGCCCGGGAACUACGAGCAUCAGCUUAAAACCCAAAGGACUUGGCGGUGCUUUAGAUCCACCUAGAGGAGCCUGUUCUAGAACCGAUAACCCCCGUUCAACCUCACCUUUCCUUGUUUAUCCCGCCUAUAUACCGCCGUCGUCAGCUUACCCUGUGAAGGCCAAGUAGUAAGCAAAAUUAGCACAGCCCAAAACGCCAGGUCGAGGUGUAGCGUAUGGAAAGGGAAGAAAUGGGCUACAUUCCCUCUAUAUCAGGGAAUACGAAGAAUAUACUGAAACGUGUAUUUAAAGGAGGAUUUAGCAGUAAGAGAAAAAUAGAGUGUUUCUCUG
rnacentral:rRNA from 1 species